UACGUAGGGUGCAAGCGUUGUCCGGAAUUAUUGGGCGUAAAGAGCUCGUAGGCGGUCUGUCACGUCGGCUGUGAAAACCUGGGGCUCAACCCCGGGCCUGCAGCCGAUACGGGCAGACUAGAAUUCGGUAGGGGAGACUGGAAUUCCUGGUGUAGCGGUGAAAUGCGCAGAUAUCAGGAGGAACACCGGUGGCGAAGGCGAUCAUCUGGGAUUAACCUGACGCUGAGGAGCGAAAGCCAGGGAGCAAACGGG
rnacentral:rRNA from 1 species